rnacentral:rRNA from 1 species
CCUACGGGGGGCUGCAGUGGGGAAUAUUGGACAAUGGGGGCAACCCUGAUCCAGCCGUGCCGCGUGUGUGAAGAAGGCCCUCGGGUUGUAAAGCACUUUCAGUGAGGAAGAACGCCUGGUGGUUAAUACCCAUCAGGAAAGACAUCACUCACAGAAGAAGCACCGGCUAACUCCGUGCCAGCAGCCGCGGUAAUACGGAGGGUGCGAGCGUUAAUCGGAAUUACUGGGCGUAAAGCGCGCGUAGGUGGCUUGAUAAGCCGGUUGUGAAAGCCCCGGGCUCAACCUGGGAACGGCAUCCGGAACUGUCAAGCUAGAGUGCAGGAGAGGAAGGUAGAAUUCCCGGUGUAGCGGUGAAAUGCGUAGAGAUCGGGAGGAAUACCAGUGGCGAAGGCGGCCUUCUGGACUGACACUGACACUGAGGUGCGAAAGCGUGGGUAGCAAACAGGAUUAGAUACCCUAGUAGUC